UUAGUGGUUCUAAUUCUAUUUAAAAAUGAAAAGUAUGGUUUAUCAAUGGUAUUUUAAAUGUUUUUCAUCUUAAUGCAAUCCUUUUAAGGCCAUACAUUCCAAUAUCCAAGUUUUAAAGUAGUUUGUAUACACCCAAUAUGCAAGGCCAUGACUUUAAUCAUUUCCUCACCAGAACUUCAAUUAUGCCAAGCACUUUUUAAUUAUCUUGCAGCCCACAAGUCUAUUCUUAGUAAAAAGUCUGACUUUUACAGAGGCAGUAUACUUCUCUGCGGCAAAAGUCAACUCACCACUUAGCAACCCCACCCAUGAAAAAGCCCUGUGAAUUAAAAGCUACUAAAUUAAGUGUGUAUUUUUAACAGCUUCAAUUUUGAAGUUAAUUUUGGCAUAAAAGUUGUAGACAUUUUUUUGAAGUACAAAAAUGCUAUGUUGGCAUUUCAUGGUAUUUUCAGAAUGCAGUUUGUUUCUGAGUUUUCUCUUUUACAAAGUUAAAGUAGUUUCUUAUAACAUCAAUUUUUUUUUCCUAAAGAAAGGGAAUAUAUUUAACCAACUGACCCUAUUAUUUUAUAUUUUUAUGUUAUUUAGAAAAUCAAAUUCUGAACCAGAAUAACAAUGAUAGAAAAAGAAUUUAUGUGUGAGGUCGGGCUGUAGGGUAAAGAGAGAGGGCUUGGGGGCACAGGGGAUAGCCUGAAAGAAGAGAGCUAAAGUAUAAGUGGGCUCAGUGUUUUAUGCAUAGACCAAAGCCUAGAAUACAAAUCCCGAAAUUAAGAGAAACGUAAACUACAUAGAAUUAUUAUGCUCUCUUACUUUUUUUACUUCCUGGUACUAGAAAAUCUUUUUUUCCCCCAAAUUAAUACAAACAGAAUACAAAGUCAUUUUAGAAAAUGCUCAUAUAAAACUAAUGCUUUUAAGAGAUACCAAACACCUAAUAGUAUAUAAUGCAUUCAUUUAAGAAUAGUUGAUGGGAAUGUGCUAUGUGCAAGGCCCUGUACUUCUCUUAUGUUAUAAGGUAGCUCCAAUAAAUUAUUGUAUCAUCAUCCACCUUAGGAAAAUGCAGUGUCCAAAAUAUGAACCUAGAAAAUGUGAUGGAUACUAUGGGCUAAAUUAGCACCUGUUUCCUUUGUUUUUUUUCUUGCCUUCAUCUAGUAUCGAGGCUGGGAUAUCUAAAAAUUCAAUUCCCUAGCUUGCCUCACAGAUGAAAGAUAUAUGACUCUGGCCAGUGAGAUGUAAAGAGAAGGCUGCUGAUGUCACAUGGUCUCUUUCUAGUGUGCUCUGGAAGUGCUGUUGCCAUCACUAGGGCAGUGGAGCUGAAAGCCAGGAGCCCAGGUCCCUGAAGGCAUCCUUAACCCACCAUACUCCUUGUGUAGGAUAAGCUGCUUACUCUGGGACUUCUUGUGUCAUGAAAUAAACAAACCUCUUCCUUGUUUAAAUGACCAUUAGCUGGGCUUUCUGUUACUCUUAGCUCCAUGCAUUACUGACUCAGGAAAAAUUUAAUUUGGCAAUAAGCAUGACAGUAGUCUUUAUAUUCCAAAUUGUAGUGACCAGUCUCCAAGGUGGCCCACAGUGAUCCCCGCUCCUUCAUAUUCUUGUGUAGUUCCUCUUCCACCCUCUACCAGGGUUGGUUUGAGUUUGUGUGACCAAUAGGAUAUGGCAGAAGUGAGGGUUGUCACUUCUUAGGUUAUAAAAGUAUGUCUGGGGUGUUCUCUCUCUCUUUCUCUGUCUCUCUCAGGUUUUUUGCUCUGGGGAAGUCAGCUGCCAUGUUAUGUGAGCAGCCUAUGGAGAGACCCACAUGGUGAGGAACUGGAACUCCUGCCAACAGCCACGUGACUGAGCUUGGGAGCUGAUUCUGUGGUCUCUUCAGAUAACUGCAAUCUCGUGAGAGACCCAGAGCCAGAGCCACCCAGCAAGGGCCCUCCCAGAUUCCUGAUCCUUAAUUAAACUUCUGAGAUAUUAUUUCAACCAUUUUGCAUUUGGAGAAACUGAGGCAAAGAGCAGUUAAAGAUUCUGUCCAAGGCUACACAGGAGGCAGGAGAACUGGGAUUUGAGCAGAAUGCUGAAUGUCAUCUGUAUCCUGCUGGCAUAGCCAACUCCAUCAGCCGGUGUCCACUCAAGCAGCCAGAACCAACGGCAGGAACAUAGUGCAGAAAACUGGCUACAAACAUGUGGAAAAGGUUGGAGGAGCAAAAGAUGGAAGAUGUGUUUACUUAGAGGUUAGUAACUUCUAGAAGUCACUACCACACCAGGAAACAAAAGGGAAGAUGUUGUUAGCCAGAGUCCACAAUCAUUGUGCCCUUGAGGCUGUUGGAACUGCACUGCAGCUUGCCCAGGAAGCAGGGAGUCAGUGCUCUUGCCAAUGCUGCAGGGGUCCAGGAGCUUAGAGUCACCAGCUGCCAUUCCUGUCGUAGCCCAGGGGCACCGUGCUGCUGGGCUUGUUGGCGUACCUGCUACCACAUCUGCUGUCCGAAUCAUGUUGCCUGAGCAGAUGUCCAGUGGCUCAGGCUUGCCUGCCUGCUGCUGCUCCUGCUGCUGCUGCUACCAUGUUUCUGAGAACUACCUUCGGAGGAAGGGAGAUCUGCCUCAUGUCCAGUCUCUGGCAGUGCCUCCCAUUGCCUCCCCAAAUUGCCAGAUUCUCUGAGAGACAGCUGGAAGGGGAGUAUGGAAAAGACACUGACACAGGCAGACUUCUGGCUCCUUGCAAUGGAGGGAAAGCAUAGAAGGGUGACAAUGACCAGUGAGCAAACCAGUCUUGGAAACAUCUAUUUUCUCUUGAAAUGUUUUCCUUCCUUUAACACAUUUUCUUUGUCAUUAUUCUUCCAUAAUUAAUGGCUGCAUCAUAUUCUCCAUUAAUUAUUAAAGUCCAGGUUAAGAGUUUA